GCACAAGUUGUUUGACUGACCUUCACUUAGCUGUUCCAACACAUCCUCAUACCCAAAACAGCCGUUGCACUGUACCAGCGACAGGCCCUUUGUUGUUUCUGUUAAAGGCUGUAUAGGUUCAGGCGUUCGAAGAACUUGGUUAGGUUUCGGGAAAUAAAUGGUUUGGAUUCCUUUGCUGCCAUAAUAAUUUUACAGCCACAACAGGACGUCGCCUUAGAACAAGAGGAUAUCUGUGUGUGUGACACUGAAGUCAAGGGCACAUCCAGGAAACAGGCCCUCUGUCCGACUAUCAUCCAUCACCAUU
rnacentral:lncRNA from 1 species